rnacentral:rRNA from 1 species
UACGGGGGGUGCAAGCGUUAUCCGGAUUCACUGGGUUUAAAGGGUGCGUAGGCGGGCAGGUAAGUCAGUGGUGAAAUCUCCGGGCUUAACCCGGAAACUGCCGUUGAUACUAUCUGUCUUGAAUAUCGUGGAGGUAAGCGGAAUAUGUCAUGUAGCGGUGAAAUGCUUAGAUAUGACAUAGAACACCCAUUGCGAAGGCAGCUUACUACACGAUCAUUGACGCUGAGGCACGAAAGCGUGGGGAGCAAACAGG